rnacentral:rRNA from 10 species
GGUUAAGCGACUAAGCGUACACGGUGGAUGCCCUGGCAGUCAGAGGCGAUGAAGGGCGUGCUAAUCUGCGAUAAGCGCCGGUAAGGUGAUAUGAACCGUUAUAACC